GGUGGUGGUUUAGUGGUAUAACACUCACCUAGCAUCUGUGAGGCACUGGGUUCAAUCCUCAGCAUCA
rnacentral:tRNA from 1 species